CAUACCGUCAAAGCCAUAGCUAUAAGUCUAUGGUCAAAGCAAAAACACAGCUGGUCGGUCUACGUCUCUGAACUUUGACGGUGCCGAUGGGAAGUCCAAAUGAUGCGGAAGUGUUACACUGUAGUUUGCGCACCGAAAUUCGCAUCGUUAUCGUCCGCCGCGUCUCGUGCAGCAUCUAAAUAUCCUGGCAUUUUUGUCAUUUGUGCCUAAUGCCCGCGGCCAGUUUGUGAUACCUCGUCCCGUGUCCUCGGUGUGGUGAUAAUCCGUAAUUCCUUCUCUCCUCUCGCUUAUUUCUCGGUUUUUCUCUCCCGUUUAUCCCUAAUCGGUUUUUUUUUCUUCUACUAUUUUAUGCGUUUGUGUUUACCUUCGGAACGGGACAAUCGGCAGUUUCUCUCCUCCCACACAAAGGAACCCUCAAGGCAUCUGCGCUGGCCUCUGUUCUUUGAUGAAUAUGACGAUGGAGUGAUGCUGGUCUCACCGUAGUUGAAAGCACGAAACCAGAACGUCCUCAGAGACGAACCUGCAAUCAAAGAUGGCGUCUACUAGCGGGCACAAAAGAAAUGGAUCCAGUUCCAGCAUGUUCGGUCACAAACGCACCGAAUCCGGCGGUGGCUUUAUUGGCCACAAACGUACGGAAAGUGGCCACAAAAGAAACGAAAGCAUAUCAAGUGCUCUUGGCCAUAAACGGUCAGAAAGUGGUCACAAAAGGUCCGAAUCUGGCAGCAACUAUCACACGGGUCACAGGAGAAACGAAAGCAUGUACGCGAUGACUGGGCUCUACGCCGAAAGCACGGCUGCUGGAGAAGACGCGGAUUUGUCACAGCCAAGCAGCAGUAGACUGACACAUGACACAGUGAUCAGGUGUCACAGUAGGAAUCCAAGUUCCGGUAUUGUUGAUCACAGAGAUUUCAUCAUCAAAUGUCACAGCAGGAAUCCCAGUGCUUCCAUGGUCGACAGGACUGAAAAGGAAAGAGCGCAGACACCACCGAUUAAUCCAGAUUCAAAGGACUGUGGAAUUUUAACAUGCAGGCCAAUUUUUAUACAAAGAUUCGCAGGGAUAAAGGUGUUCGUAUUCCUUCUGUCAUUCCUUGUUACGCUGCAGCAGGCACUUAGCUCUGGUUACAUUAAUUCUGUAAUAACAACAAUAGAGAAAAGAUUUGAGAUACCGUCAAGCCUCUCAGGUCUGAUCGCCAGUUCAUACGAAAUUGGCAAUGUAAUAACGGUGAUAUUUGUAAGCUAUUUAGGCAGCCGACGGCAUAUUCCUGUUUGGAUAGCAAUUGGCGCCGUGAUAAUGGGCAUUGGCUCAAUGAUUUUUAUGGUGCCUCAUUUCACAGCCGAACCUAACUUAGGUACAGCAUCGAAUAACUCAAGUUCAGAUAACAUAUGCCGUGGUGUAUCGCUGCGCGAACAAGACAUGGGCUUAGGCCGACUUUCUACCGGUUUAUCAUCGCCGCCUUUAGCCCCACACAAUAAUCUUCGCGGUGACAACUGCAUACAAGGGUCUCCUUCUACCGCUGGUCCGGUGAUGCUUUUCGUACUUGCGCAAUUGCUUCUUGGUUGUGGUGGUUCACCUUUGUUCACUCUCGGAACAACUUACAUUGAUGAUCACGUCAGGCCGGAGAGUGCCUCUUUGUACAUCGGCUGCAUGUACAGUAUGGCAGCUUUUGGACCUGUUCUUGGAUUUCUUCUCGGUGCUUAUUUAUUGUCUUUUCACAUGGAUUCGUUCGCCGGAACUAUCAUCAGCAUAGAUCCAGGCGAUCAUAGAUGGGUUGGAAUGUGGUGGGGUGGAUUUUUACUCUGCGGUUUGCUGCUGGUAUUAGUGGCAGUGCCGUUUUUCAGUUUUCCGAAAACUUUACAACGUGAGAAAGAGAAAAUUCGGAUAAUUGAAAAGAGCAAGCCAAUAACAGCAAAGGAGAAAGAGCAGAACAAAGAACCCAUGAAGGAACAAACCUCUGACAAUACCGCUUAUGGCAAAGACGUCAAAGACAUUCCACGGAGCAUGUGGAGACUGGUGUGCAAUCCUGUUUACGUGGUGACAUGUCUUGGUGCCUGCAUGGAGCUGGUAAUAGUUUCGGGCUUCGUUGUGUUUCUGCCAAAGUAUUUAGAGACGCAAUUCAGUUUGGGAAAAAGCCAGGCCAGCAUAUUCACUGGUUCAAUCGCGAUCCCCGGUGCUUGUAUCGGCAUAUUCUUUGGUGGCUGUCUACUGAAACGUUUGGAACUGAGGCCUAAGGGUGCUGUUCAAUUCGUCCUAGUCUCAAAUAUAAUCUGCCUUGUUUGUUACGGCCUUUUGUUUUUCCUUGGCUGUGACAAUGUCAAAAUGGCCGGCACCACCAUACCCUAUUUUAACAGCACGACCAAAGGGCCUGAACCAUUUCAAGUUAAUCUUACUGCCGCCUGCAACUUUGGGUGCGAAUGCCGAAUGACUGACGUUGAACCAGUUUGUGGCAACAAUGGCUUGACUUAUUUUAGCCCCUGCCACGCGGGUUGCACGGCAUUCAGCUCAAAGUCCAACUUUACCAACUGCGCGUGCAUUCACGGUAAUCUCAGCAUGGUGCCACCAGCUGCGCCGGAAUUCGCUGAAGUUACUGUUGUUCCCGUUGCUACGGCUGGCCCAUGCACCUCGCCUUGUAGGACUAUAUUUCCGUUUCUUAUUCUAUUAUUCUUCAUGACCUUCAUCGUUGCUGUAACACAGAUGCCUUUAUUAAUGAUCGUAUUACGAUCCGUCUCUGAAGAGGAGCGGUCCUUUGCUCUUGGAAUGCAAUUUGUCAUCUUCAGAUUGUUUGGGUAUAUACCAGCACCUAUAUUGUUUGGCAAUUUGAUAGAUUCAACGUGCAUUCUGUGGAAAAGUACUUGCGGUGAAAAAGGGGGCCGUUGUUUGCUUUAUGACAUUGAACAAUUCAGAUACAGAUACGUCGGACUUUGUGCCGGUAUAAAGAUUCUGGCGUUGGCACUAUUUUUGGUCGAUUGGUGGCUAGUGAGAAGGAGAAGACACCUCGAAGAACAUCCGCCACCAUUGACAGUCAACGAAGUUGUCGGAUCGAUAAUCAGCCUGGACAAAUUGUUUGAAGAAAGACCGCAACAUUUGAACACUGCUGAUGGUGACACAACUUCACCAAGCACCGAGGGGCCAACGCCAUCUUCGAUUUCGUCGCCCACCGAGCCAACAAAGUCUACAAAUCUUGAGGAAACGGAAUCAUCAAAUCACACCGAAGCGUCGAAUGACAUCAACAAUCCUCAAACAAAAGAUCCUUUUGACAUUCCUGACACAAGGCAAGCUCCGCUUGCCACAGAAGAUUUGGAGGUAGAGAUCAAGCGGCCGGACAGUACUGAAAAACUUCAUCCGAGUGUUUAAUGAGGGCUGGCAUUAGGAUAUUGAAUUUGAAUGUACAAUUCUCACAUGGCGAUUUCAAAAACCGUGUGGAAGGACCCCAACGUUAAUUUAUAUAUUGAAAAGAAAGGCGCUUGGCGGAGAGUUGCUGAAUAAUUUCUCAUGAAUUAAUGUCGCACUCCUCUACAAUAUAAAUGAAUUUAUAUAAAAGAAAGAGCAAAAAAAGACUUGCACCUAUAUCACUAGAAAUAAAUUUUUCAAAUUGACGCAUGGACGAAGUUUAUAAGUUUCAUCUCCUUGAACUCUGAAAUAGAGUCGUAAAAUUGUCCAUUUUCCCGCGCAUGAAGAGAAAAAACGCCUUUUACAAGUAUUUCAAUAAACCCGUAAAAUUUCUAAGAAUUCUAAUAUUAAAAGAAAAGGUGUAACUGCCUACAUAUUUUUUUUUUUCCCCUAUGAAUACUGAAUCUUUGCUCUAUUGAAGAUACAAUGAGCGCGCGUAAAACGUAAAUAAAAUUGAUAAUGUACAUAAAUACAUAUGUGUAUAUAUAUAUAUAUGUCGAACAUAUAAGAUUAUAUAUUCGAUAUAUGUACAUAUAUAAAAAUUCCUGCCUUAAGAAAUAUAAGACUAGAAAAAUGAUUAAAUAAUGAAGUAAGACGUAUCUAACUCUUAUAGACACACACAUGGUAUAUGCGCUAAUCCGCGUUAUUUUUACCAAUUUUCGUUCCGCUUCUGAUUUUGAAUUUUUAUGUCAAUAUACGGCAGGCAGCUGGUCAAAAUCGGUAGCUGGUCAAAAUCACAUGGAAUAUCGCAUAUACGAUAUACAUAUAUAUACACACAAGACAUUUGUUACGAGCGUUUCUUACAGGUGUUGAAAAAAUGCACCAAGGUUAUACAGUUUAUGUUUUAGUAUAUCCUUUGUGGUACCUGCACCAAACUCUCGUAAAAAAAAAAAAAAAAAAAAAAAAUUAAAAAAGGUCUAUAUAAUAUAAAACAUAAACGAAAUAUAUCAUUAAAUUGUAAGAAACUUAAACAGUGAUUUAUUUUUAAAAUUAUAGGAAAGUACUAUCACAGCUUUUCUCGAAGUAGAAAAAAAAAAAAACAAUUAUAUAAAAGAAAUCAGUCAAUAUAGAGUAGCAAAGGAAAAAAACAAACAAAAUUCCAAAAAAAUUAUGAGGUAAGCUAUGAAAAAUUUGAAGAUGAUUUUUUGUUUUAUUUUUGUAUGAUAAAUUUAAGCACGUAAUUACAUUAUGAUCUGAUACUUUUUUAUUCUUGGGCGUUGAGAUUACUAUUCACCUUGGUCUCGUUUACCUCAAAAACAGCAAUUGUAUAACGUGGCGUAUAUUCGUAUCCUAGAUGCUUCCAAGUUGGACAUUUUUCUUAUUCAUCUGAUAUCGUUGUAUUUUAUUUUACUCACUUAUGCAGCGCAUCUGAACUUGAUCUCCGAUUAUGAAAUAUUUGUACAUUAAUUAAGAUCUUAAAUAUGCAACGUAACGGUACGAAAAUUAUUAUUGUGCUUUCUGUUUGUUUUAGUUGAAUUAAGUAAUGACAACAACGCGUAAUUGACUUAAUGCUAUUGAAUCGUCUGUACAAAUCAAAUGUGUAAUGAUAGGUGAAAAGAUAUUCGCUACCCUAGUAUGCUCAAUUGUUCAAUAAGGUACAUGUUUAAAAGUUCGUACAUGAAGUACCCGAUUUGUCUGAUGAUUUUCAGCUUAUCUUAUUGAAUCUCAGAUUAUAUAUAUGUGGUGUAUGAUAAAAAAUUGUGACAGCAAUUUCUGUCAAUUGUUCAACUAAAAUCAGCCCCAAAGUGAUGGAUAUUUACAUAUACGUAUAUCUAUUUUUUUUUUCAAAGCGAAUUACAGAAUUUGAAUGUGAAAAUUCCCUUGAAGCAUAUUGUGAUUACAAUAUCUUGACUUAUAUCUUCGGUGCGUUAGUGAAAAAAAAUCAACAGGGAAAAGUAUAAAUUAAUUCUGGUUAGAGUAAUAUACAAAAAAAGAAAGGGAAUUUUCAAGUUUAAGGAAAAAAGCAACGGUUGGUGUCACCUUGAUUGUAUUCUUGAUAUUUUUGACAAUUUGACAAUUAGAAGCAACAUAUUAUGUACAUAAAAUAUUGUAUAUCAUUUGAGAUGAAUUUUCGUUCGAUCAUUAAUUGAUUAAAACAUUAUUCAUGAAAAAAUGACGCGAAGCUGACUUAUGAUUGUAAUCGUGUCGCUUAAAACUAUACAUAUAUCAAUAUUACCGAUUACGAUACUUAAAAUACUCUUGUAAGUAUAUAUAUUAUAUUACGUAUAUAUACACACGUAGUAUAUCUGAAUUUUCAACUGAAUAUUUGUUUAAUGACACAUUCAAAUAACUACCACACACUUUUAAUAUUAUCACAAUUUCUAAAUAACACGCUACAGAAAUUUUUCAAUUACCACAUUUAAUCAUGAUUACUAACACUAUUAUUAAUGUUAUUAUUAUCAUUAUUAUUAGUAGCAUUGUGUAUGAAACUCUUAUUUUAGAAUUUAUGACAAAAUUGUCAUGUUUGAUGGCAACCCAUAAUUUGCUAAAUCCGCUGGUAUUAUAGACAGAAUGAAGAGCAGGAUUAGCCAGAAACUGUCUAAAUCGGAAUCACCAGUAUGGAGGAAAGAGAAAAUGUAAAAUUAAUGCAUCCGCUGGAACUUGACGGUGAAAAAUGUGGCUAAUUAUUCAAAAUAAUCUGCAUCUGGUAAAGUAAAUAGAUGGAUUAAAUUAUGACUGUUAGUCAAAUUUUUAUCUUGCUUUUAUUUUAUUUUUUUAUCAUUAAAAUCGAGACAUCGAAAGAGCUAACAGUGUUUAAUGUAUUUGACAUUGAAAUAUAUCCUAGUCGCGGAAAAAUUUCUACUGCUAGCUCCUGCAAUGAUCUUGAAAUAUUGACCCGAUUUUUAAAAUUGAAAUCGCAAACGGUGAUAGAUGGCUAUAAAAAUUAGAUUGGUGAAACUUCUUGUUAUAUUGUAACAUUCCCAAGUGAUGACAAAUGCAAAUAUUUCAUAAAUGUACGUAUAUGUUUCUAAAAUUUUGGAUUCUGACCCUUCUAAGUUCUAACUCUGCCAACUUAUGUGUUGCUCAUUUAUAGAACUGUCAGAAUUCAAGGUGGCAUGAUGUAAAACUAAAGCGCAACUAUCCAAAUGAGCAUUUCUUCCUAUUCUUAUUUGCUGCCCUAUGUUUUGCUUUCAUUCCAUUCGAAAUUACUCACUUAAAACUUGUCAAAUGAAGUAGACAUUUUUAGGCUUUGAGAUUGCAAUUUUCAAAUACUUGCAUCUGACUUCAAUCCAGGGUUAACAGAAUAUUUAAAACUCAAUCCAAUGAGUAAAUUUCAAAGAAACAACAACGAAAUUCAUAGAA
rnacentral:misc_RNA from 1 species